rnacentral:lncRNA from 1 species
UUUGUGAUUGUUCUUUAGAAUGAAAAGAGUGUAUAUUUCAAAUUUUGAUUCAAACAAUCGUUGCAUUAAACUAUGAUACAAUCAUUGCAUGAAAUCACUACCCAUACAUAUGGAUGUAGUUUUUAUAAGGUUGCAACCUUAAACAAUCCAAUCAAGGAAAACUUCCAAAUCUCAUCAUAAUAUGUAAUUUUGGUGUUAAACAUUAUUAAGAUUAUCUGGAAAUCUAUUUUCAUACAUAAUUAUAGAAUAUUAAAUUUAAAAAAUGGUUAAAAUCAAGUAGAUCUAUAAACUUAUGAAAAUCUUGAAAACGGACGGUUUAGAUAAUGUGUUGCAAGAUGCACUAUUUUUGGGACUCAAAAUCUUUUUUUAUAUAUAUUCAUACAUCUCGAUGUUGUGAUGAUCAAUUAGAUAGGUUUUCAAUAUUAAAACAACCUUAUUCUAUAUUUUAAGGUUGCAACCUUUUAUAUAUAUAUAUAUGGCGAUUAAUAGGUUGGGAUUGUAUACAAUGAGGCCAUUUUAUCUCGUGUACAAAGAGGACCCAAUUACUUAUAACUACAUGAUGUUAAAUUUGACUGCUUGGGCAAGUAACAAAGUUCAAAAAGAUUUCUUUUAAGCUUUGAACUUGGUUAAUAUAAUUGAUUCAACCACCCAAGUUUACAUCCAAUGAUUAAGAUUAAUUAUGACCACCUUGUACUAAAGGUGAAUGGUCUCAUUGUAUAUUUUUCUUUAUUGGUUGGCAACAUUUUAUUAAUUUAUUUAAAAGACAAGGGAGAGAGAGACUUUUACAUGCAAUAGUAUAACGAUGAGGAAGGCCAAGACUUGUAUACUCAUGAAAAAAACCAUAAUUCUUUUGAUGCUGGAAAACUCAUUUGGACCUCAAGAUGCAAAGAUAUGAAAUAAAAAGGAUUUUAAAUUUUAAAAAUAGUGGAAAAAUUAUUUGGACUAUCCAUUUUUUAAGAUUUUCAUGUAUUUAUGAGUUUGUCGACCUGUACUAUUUUCUGGAGCUUUAAUUUUGUAAUUAGGGGUUGAAAUAGCUUUUUAGACUAUUGUAGGGGUGUUUUGCACUAAAAUGGCAUCUUUGUGUAAGGUUUGAAGGUGUGCCUUUGAAUAUUUAAGGUUGACACUUUUAUAUAAAACCACAACUUUUUGUAGAAUACAUGGACCUCAUGGAAGUAUCUUGGAAAAUUUACCCAUUUCUGAAAAGACAUGUAAUUUUUUAAAGUUAAUUGUUGGAUAAAAAAGGAAUUGCCUCUAUAAUUGGCCUGUGAGGAUGACAGGGUAGCACAUCAUGACAUCUAGAGUUCUAUUUCUAUGGUGGUACUAAGGGGAAAAAAGAAAAUGAAAAAAAAGAAAAGAAAAAAAUAAAGGUCUAAUUCCAUUCCUAUAGAGAUCCCAAAAAAGGGAAAAAAAAUUGGCUGGUCUUGUGGAACCAAAUAGUACAUUUGGUUAUUUGGGAAGGAUUUUCUAAAAAUUGUUUUCAAAUCUAAAAACGGC